GAGCGAGCGCCGGUCCUGCGCGCGUGCGGCGUGGCGCUCCGGCGCCGCUCGCUGCUCCGGUGCCGCGCAGAGCCGAGCGGCGCCCGCGGGGUGUGCGCGCUGCAGGGCGGACCACUGCUGCCCGGGCCCGCGGGGGUGGCGGCUGGGGACGACGGUCGCCCUCUGCCGCGGCGGGUGCGGGUGCCUGGACUCUGGGGAAGCCGCGGCCACUGCCCCGGGCCGGCAGUGCACGAGCCCGGCCGCCGGCUGCCCACCCUGUCCCCUGCACACGUACCGAGCGGUCGCUGCGACCCGACGCCCGGCGCAUCUUCCGCGGGUGGCGGGUGUGGGCGGCGGGCCCGCGGGGUGGUGCGGCCGGGGAAGGGAGGCUGCACCUUCUGUCCGGGUCCCCCGGGUUGCUUGCGGGCGGCGCCGCGGCCCAGGCGGUGAUGCGGGACGACUGAGGGCGAUCAUCUGGGAGGACGCCGUCCCCUGCCCCACCGGCGCGGUGGUAUCUCCCUUAAAGAAGCCGGAACCUCAUUGUUCCCGGCGAUCUCUCUCUUAUGAAAAACCAUGGACCCCAGUUUGUGUUGGCGUACUACUUCUGGUCACCGGGCCUUCCCUGGAGCGUGGUCAAUAUACCAGGUGUAUCUGCUGAAGAAAACUGACUUCCCUCUCUCAGAACCAGCAGCUCUCAAAGGCCAAUCAUUCCUCAUAGCUCCUCACUCAUGGUGGGACUUCAUGGCCACCUCUUCCCCCACACUGGGAUUCUGUCUGGCUUGAGCUUGUGGAGGUCCUGGGCCUGUUCUCACAGU
rnacentral:lncRNA from 1 species